CUUUUCAAAAGCUUGACUGGAGACACAAAGCCUGUGGGACUCCUAACAGCUCCUGGUCCCUGACUGACCUCAUCUGAGCAGGUGUGGGGUCACAUUUGACUGGACUGUUGUUUGUAUGUCUCAGCAGCCUAACUUUGUAUGUCCAGGUGUUUCCAGGUUAAAGCACAGAAUGCUGGAGUUGUCUCUUCUCUUGUCCAUGGAUAUUCACUCCUACACACCUGUCUACAAGAAACUGAAGGUGUGCAGGAUCCUUUACAGCCAAGAUGUGCUUUUCUACAAGAUGACCUCAGCUACUACGAGCCACUACUGCCAAAAACUUGAAUGAACCACCUGAUGUAAACAUGAUGAGAUGAUGAAGUAAGUGUAGAAACAGCCUUUUGGCCGUAGGUCUGAACCAUUAAAAACACAAUAUCUUGUCGGUCUGAUGUCUCCCAUGGCAACAUUACUGGGAUGACUGAGUCCCAAUGGCGGAUGUGAAAUUGACAGAGGACAUCUUUGAAAAUCUGAAGCUCCCUGUCACUGAGAUCAGCCAGUGUUUCCAGAAGCAGCUCUGUGACAGACGCCAUCGUUUCCACCUGGGUACCCACCUCCCUCCUCGGUGUUCACACCAGAUGCUUCAGCUGAUGAUCCUGCAGCUGCAACACAUUUAAUGACAACUGUAAUAAUAAACACACACUGAAUUUGUAAAAUUAGCCCCUCUAAAAUGAAUUAUUAA